rnacentral:rRNA from 1 species
GCUAAUUAGGUUGUAAAGCUCUUUCAUUAAGGGGGAAAAUGACAGUACUUAAAAAAGAAGUUCCGGCUAAUACCCGUGCCAGCAGCCGCGGUAAUACGGGAGGAGCGAGCAUUAUUCGGAAUGAUUAGGCGUAAAGGGUUUGUAGGUGGUUUUUUAAGUUGAAAGAAACAAAUUAAAGCUCAACUUUAUAUAUUUUUUCAAAACUGAUAAACUGGAGUAUAAAUAGAGGAUAAUGGAAUUUCUAUUGGAGUGAUAAAAUACGUUGAUAAUAGAAGGAAGAUCUAUGGCGAAGGCAAUUAUCUGGGUAUAUACUGACACUGAGAAACGAAAGCUUGGGUAGCGAACGGGAUUAGAUACCCCGGUAGUCCAUGCUGUAAACGAUGAGUGCUAAUAUUUAGAAUUUUUAGAUAUAACAGCUAACGCGUUAAGCACUCCGCCUGAAAAGUAUAAUCGCAAGAUUGAAAUUCAAAGGAAUUGACGGGAGUCUACACAAGCGGUGGAGCAUGUGGUUUAAUUCGAUAAUACGCGCAGAACCUUACCAACUCUUGCUAAUUUUUAUAUAAAAUAUUAUAUAAAAAACAGGCGUUGCAUGGCUGUCGUCAGCUCGUGUUGUGAAAUGUUUGGUUAAAUCCUUUAACGAGCGCAACCCUUAUUGUUAGUUGCUAAUUUACUAAAAAAAAUAAAAGUACUCUAACAAAAAAAUUAAUGAUAGGUUAAUGGAAGGUGGGGAUGACGUCAAGUCUUCAUGGCCCUUAUGAGUUGGGCUACACACGUGCUACAAUGAUAAUCACAAUGAGAGGCAAUAAUGAUAAAAGUUGGAGCAAAUCUUUAAAAAUUAUCUUAGUUCGGAUUAAGGGCUGAAACUCGCCCUUAUGAAGUUGGAAUCGCUAGUAAUCGCAGAACAGCAUGCUGCGGUGAAUAUGUUACUGGACUUUGUACACACCGCCCGUCACAUCAGGGAAGUUGAUUAUUUUUAAAAUAAUUCUUAAUUAUUUAAUAUAAUUAUCUAAUUAUUUAAUUAUAUUAAUUUAUAAUUUAUAUUAAAUAACUUAAAAUUCCUAAAAAGUGAUUAGUAACUUUGAUGAAGUCGUAACAAGGUAGUCGUAGGGGAACCUGUGUCUG